GCGGCGUGCCUAACACAUGCAAGUCGAACGAAGCACCUUACUUGAUUCUUCGGAUGAAGGUCUGGUGACUGAGUGGCGGACGGGUGAGUAACGCGUGGGUAACCUGCCCUGUACAGGGGGAUAACAGUUGGAAACGGCUGCUAAUACCGCAUAAGCGCACGAGAGGACAUCCUCUUGUGUGAAAAACUCCGGUGGUACAGGAUGGGCCCGCGUCUGAUUAGCUGGUUGGCAGGGUAACGGCCUACCAAGGCGACGAUCAGUAGCCGGUCUGAGAGGAUGAACGGCCACAUUGGAACUGAGACACGGUCCAAACUCCUACGGGAGGCAGCAGUGGGGAAUAUUGCACAAUGGGGGAAACCCUGAUGCAGCAACGCCGCGUGAGUGAAGAAGUAUUUCGGUAUGUAAAGCUCUAUCAGCAGGGAAGAUAAUGACGGUACCUGACUAAGAAGCUCCGGCUAAAUACGUGCCAGCAGCCGCGGUAAUACGUAUGGAGCAAGCGUUAUCCGGAUUUACUGGGUGUAAAGGGUGCGUAGGUGGCAGUGCAAGUCAGAUGUGAAAGGCCGGGGCUCAACCCCGGAGCUGCAUUUGAAACUGCAUAGCUGGAGUACAGGAGAGGCAGGCGGAAUUCCUAGUGUAGCGGUGAAAUGCGUAGAUAUUAGGAGGAACACCAGUGGCGAAGGCGGCCUGCUGGACUGUUACUGACACUGAGGCACGAAAGCGUGGGGAGCAAACAGG
rnacentral:rRNA from 1 species